rnacentral:rRNA from 1 species
CGGAGAAAGCUUUAUGCACCAUUGGAUGAGCCUGCACUUGAUUAGUUUGUUGGUAGGGUAAUGGCCUACCAAGACUGUGAUCAAUAGCUGAUUUGAGAGGAUGAUCAGCCACAUUGGGACUGAGACACGGCCCAAACUCCUACGGGAGGCAGCAGUGGGGAAUCUUGCACAAUGGAGGAAACUCUGAUGCAGCGAUGCCGCGUGAGUGAAGAAGGCCCUUGGGUUGUAAAGCUCUUUCGUCGGGGAAGAAAAUGACUGU